UACGUAGGGUGCAAGCGUUGUCCGGAAUUCUUGGGCGUAAAGAGCUCGUAGGCGGUCUGUCGCGUCGGCUGUGAAAACCCGGGGCUCAACCCCGGGCCUGCAGUCGAUACGGGCAGACUAGAGGUAGGUAGGGGAGAAUGGAAUUCCCGGUGUAGCGGUGAAAUGCGCAGAUAUCGGGAGGAACACCGGUGGCGAAGGCGGUUCUCUGGGCCUUACCUGACGCUGAGGAGCGAAAGCGUGGGGAGCGAACAGG
rnacentral:rRNA from 1 species